UACAGAGGGGGCAAGCGUUGUUCGGAAUUACUGGGCGUAAAGGGCGCGUAGGCGGCCGCCUAAGUCAGACGUGAAAUCCCUCGGCUCAACCGGGGAACUGCGUCUGAUACUGGGUGGCUUGAAUCCGGGAGAGGGAUGCGGAAUUCCAGGUGUAGCGGUGAAAUGCGUAGAUAUCUGGAGGAACACCGGUGGCGAAGGCGGCGUUCUGGACUGCUACUGACACUGAGGAACGAAAGCCAGGGGAGCAAACGGG
rnacentral:rRNA from 1 species